GUCAUUUUUAUAAAUUUUCUGUUUACAAAACUUUGAAUUUUUCGAAAAACUAAGGAUUUUCUUACCCCAGGAGUAGAAUACCUUAGCCGUAUUUGGCACAACUUUUUGGAAUUUUGGGUCCUCAAUGCUCUUCACAUUUGUAUUUGUUUGGCUUUUUAACUAUUUCGAUCUGAGCGUCACUGAUGAGUCUUAUGUAGACGAAACGCGCGUCUGGCGUAUAAAAUUAUAACCCUGGUACUUUUGAUAACUAUUUACACCACUGGGUCGAUGCCGUUGCUGGUGGACGUUUCGUCACCGAGGGUAUCACCAGCCCAGUAGUCAGCACUUCGGUGUUGACAUGAAUAUCAAUUAUAUGGUAAUUUUUAUAAAUUUUCUGUUUACAAAACUUUGAAUUUUUCGAAAAAACUAAGGAUUUUCUUACCCCAGGAGUAGAUUACCUUAGCCGUAUUUGGCACAACUUUUUGGAAUUUUGGGUCCUCAAUGCUCUUCAACUUUGUAUUUGUUUGGCUUUUUAACUAUUUUGAUCUGAGCGUCACUGAUGAGUCUUAUGUAGACGAAACGCGCGUCUGGCGUAUAAAAUUAUAAUCCUGGUACUUUUGAUAACUAUUUACACCACUGGGUCGAUGCCACUACUGGUGGACGUUUCGUCCCCGAGGGUAUCACCAGCCCAGUAGUCAGCACUUCGGUGUUGACAUGAAUAUCAAUUAUAUG
rnacentral:lncRNA from 1 species